CUGUUGUUUUUCUACCACUUCUCAAAGAAAACUUAAGCAUUUUAUUGUCUCUCAAUCUCUGCCCAUUUCAAUUUUAUUCAAAGUAGAGUAGAUCUGUGACCUAAAAGCCCUAGUUCGCUGCACCCGAAAAAGUCUUAAUUCGGGACUCUUGCAAAGUCGGAGUCUUAACCCAAGACUCUCCUAUUACCGAGCAUGGAGUCCAUUCCACAGAUUUUCUUUUAAAUGCAUCAAAUCUAUCAAGAGGAACGAGCAAAAUUGCUCGGGACUUCUUUUGGCUAUCUUUCUAUUACCAGUCAUUCCAUUUUCAUUUUUUUAAUUUUAUUUUAUUUCUUAAUUUAUUUGUUAAAUACAAUUGCUGGUUUGUUUAUGUUUGGUGUAUCCCUGUUUUGGGAUUUUAGGAUAAACUUAGUUAGUGUAGGUUUUAUUCUAUCAUUUAGACUAUCCCAAUCAUUUAUUAUUAAUAAAGUAAUAUUUUCAUCA